UGAACGCUGGCGGUAUGCCUAACACAUGCAAGUCGUACGAGAGUUUUUAACUCAAGUGGCGGACGGGUGAGUAACACGUAAGAAUUUACCUUUAGGAGGGGGAUAAACUGGUAAUACCCCAUAUGCUUUCGAGUAAAAUGGAGUUUUCUGCCUAGAGAGAAGCUUGCGGCUGAUUAGCUUGUUGGUAAGGUAAUGGCUUACCAAGGCGACGAUCAGUAUCUGGUUUGAGAGGACGAUCAGACACACUGGAACUGAGACACGGUCCAGACUCCUACGGGAGGCAGCAGUGAGGAAUUUUCCGCAAUGGGCGAAAGCCUGACGGAGCAAUACCGCGUGAGGGAUGACGGCCUAUGGGUUGUAAACCUCUUUUUUCAGGGAGGAAUAAAAUGACGUGUACCUGAAGAAUAAGCAUCGGCUAACUCC
rnacentral:rRNA from 1 species